UAUCGCAUAGUCUAGUGAUUAGGACGUCCGAUACCCAUCCGAGAGACCCAGGUUCGAUUCCUGGUGAGGUAA
rnacentral:tRNA from 1 species